rnacentral:rRNA from 1 species
CAGUCGCCGCGGUAAAACGGAGGGGGCUAGCGUUGUUCGGAAUUACUGGGCGUAAAGCGCACGUAGGCGGCUUGGUAAGUUAGAGGUGAAAGCCUGGAGCUCAACUCCAGAAUUGCCUUUAAGACUGCCGAGCUAGCAGGUGAGAGAGGUAAGUGGAAUUCCGAGUGUAGAGGUGAAAUUCGUAGAUAUUCGGAAGAACACCAGUGGCGAAGGCGGCUUACUGGCUCAUACUGGACGCUGAGGUGCGAAAGCGUGGGGAGCAAACAGGAUUAGAUACCCCUGUAGUCCCUGUCUCUUAUAA